rnacentral:lncRNA from 1 species
NNNNGCGUUUGGGGGUGCUCCUCGCGGGGGGGGGGGUGCUGGGGUGCUCCUCCCCGGGACGGUACUCGGCGGUACUCCUCCCUGGGGGCGGUACUUCUCCCUGGGGGGUGGUACUUGAGCGGUACUUGGGUGGUAUUUCUCCUUGGGGAUGGUACUUGGGUGGUACUUGGGCGGUACUUCUCCUUGGGGGGUGGUACUUGAGUGGUACUUGGGCGGUAAUCCUCCUUGGGGGUGGUACUUGAGCUGUACUUGGGUGGUACUUCUCCCUGGGGGGUGGUACUUGAGUGAUACUUGGGCGGUACUCCUCCCUGGGGGCGGUACUUGGGCGGUACUUCUUCUUGGGGGUGGUACUUGGGCAGCACUUGGGAGGUACUUCUCCUUGGGGGCGGUACUUGGGCUGUAGUUGGGUGGUACUUGGGAGGUACUUCUCCUUGGGGGCGGUACUUGGGCGGUACUUGGGCAGCACUCCUCCUUGGGGGCAGUACUUGGGUGGUACUCCUCCUCAGGGGCGGUACUUCCUGGUCCUUUGUGGCACACCUCCUUGGGGUGGUACUUCGUGGUACUUGGGUGCUAUUUUCGUCAGAGGUGGUAUUUUGUGGUGCUUCCGGCCAGGGGCGGUACUCCUGCUCCGUGGUGGUGCCCUGCGGUGCCCCUGGGGGGUGCUGCUCUGCGGUGGUACUCCUCAGUGGCAGUACUCCGCAGUACUCCUCCUCAGUGGCAGUACUCCUCCUCAGCGGCGGUACUCUGUGGUACUCCUUGGGGGUGUUGUUCUGUGGUAUUCCUGGAGAACGUUAUGCUGUGGCACUUCUCCUCAGGGCUGUUACUCCAUGGUACUCCUCCUCGGAGGUGUUGCUCUCCCCCCCCCCUCCAGGGGUGUUAUUCUGUGGUACUCCUCCUCAGGGGUGGUACUCUGGCCCUUCAGUGGGGUGUUACUCCGUGGUACUCCUCCUCAGGCCUGUUACUCCACGGUACUCCUCCUUGGGGGUGGCACUCUGGCCCUCCUGUGGGGUGUUACUCCGUGGUACUCCUCCCCGGGGGUGGCACUCUGGCCCUCCUGUGGGGUGUUACUCUGUGGUACUCCUCCUCGGGGGUGGCACUCUGGCCCUCCUGUGGGGUGUUACUCCGUGGUACUCCUC